rnacentral:rRNA from 1 species
UUCUGGUUGAUCCUGCCGGACCUGGCUGCUAUCGGAUUGAUACUAAGCCAUGCGAGUCUUUGUAGUAAUACAAGGCAGACGGCUCAGUAACACGUAGUCAACCUACCCUAUGGACGAGAAUAAUCUCGGGAAACUGAGCAUAAUUCUUGAUAGAUCAUAAUGCCUGGAAUGGUUUAUGGUUAAAAUGAUUCGUCGCCAUAGGAUGGGACUGCGGCCUAUCAGCUUGUUGGUGAGGUAAUGGCCCACCAAGGCGAUUACAGGUACGGGCUCUGAGAGGAGAAGCCCGGAGAUGGGUACUGAGACACGGACCCAGGCCCUAUGGGGCGCAGCAGGCGAGAAAACUUUGCAAUGUGCGAAAGCACGACAAGGUUAAUCCGAGUGAUUUCUGCUAAAGAAAUCUUUUGCCAGUCGUAAAACCGCUGGUGAAUAAGGGGUGAGCAAGUUCUGGUGCCAGCAGCCGCGGUAAU